rnacentral:lncRNA from 1 species
AAAAUAACUUACAAGAAAUCCAAAUGAUAAUUUUAGGAUUUUAUAGGGUUUAAUUUAAUCAGCAUAUUUAAAAACUUAAAAAUUGACUAAUAUUUGCACACUUAGAGUUUAAUCGAGUGGUACGACUUUGGGUUUUUCCGAGUGAAUGUCUCAAAAGAGAAGGAAAUAUAAAUGGAGAAUUAAGAAGAGAAGAUAAAGGGUCAAUGGUGCCGAUACUGGAGCUUCCGAGAGACGAAUAUCAAGAAAACAGCUUGCAGCUGGCUAAAACUGCUCCAAGUAACUGACAAGACAAUUGGCUGUAUACUGUUUGCUUUCUCCCCUGGAGCUCACGCUAUUUAUAUUCAGCUCUUAGCUUGCGAUUACGAGUAAUCAUAGAUCUUAUCGAAAGAAAAUUCCACGAGACAUGAUCAAGUGAUAAUAUUUAAUUUGAUAAGACAAUUAUGCAAAUUGAAGGCCCGCGACACUACAAUCUAGUUCAAUCAAUAAAUAAUAAUCGGUGUCAUGUAUAAUAGCAAGUACCUAUACGCGGUAUGAUACUCGUUGGAUAAAUCAAAUAAGAGUGAUUCAAAUGACAUAAUAUAUUUAACAAUUAAUAUACUAAAAUAGAAGUUGACAAAUCAAGGUAUGUAUAUUUAGGUUUCAACGACGAAGAUGACAUGCGCAAGAUAAACUUCGCGGUAAUUAUUAUUUAAUUUAAAUCACGCGAGAUAAGUAAGUUUGAUUUUGAAGAAAUGUUUUUUGUUAAUUGAGUGUUGGUGGAUAUUACCCGAAGGUACGCAAGAGCACGAUAUGAGUCAUUGUACCAUUUCACAGUUAUAAACAAUUUAAACUACAAGUUGUCGUCCCCUGUACUGACUCGUGCUGAGUGUCGAUUGAAAAUAAUUUUACGGAUGUACAUUAUUUAAGAGAAUAAAAUACGAAUAAAAAAUGAUGACUCAUCACUAUACAAAUAUGUGAAAUAGUGUUGUUUAUAUUCGUGGUGGACGUAAAUGGAUUUUUAGAUGGAAAAUUAUCGAUUAAUUCAUACGUGUUCAUUUGUAUAAUUUAUAGGUGUUUAUAAUAAAUAAACACGAAGAUAUUUACUGAACAAAUGGCAGAAAACUUGUUAGCCAUCGAGAGAAAACAUGUCAGUUGUAUCAAUAGUAAGAAGUAUAAGAUUGAGAACACAUCUAUUACUAUUACUACAUAUACUAGAAAUUCUUGAUUCUUUUGUUAACUGGAAUAAACCAACUGUUGGAUGGGUUGACAAUGUCAAUAGUGAUGAUAUGUUAUGUAGUUUCGCGCUGACGCUGCGAAAAUACUUUUAUUAUUUUAGCAUUCCAUUACGUCAAAAGAUGUUUUUUUUUGUAUGAUAUGAACAAAUAUUU